CCCUUAGAUGUUCUGGGCUGCACACGUGCUACACUGGCAGGUUCAGCGAGCUUCAUGCCCUGAUCUGAAAGGAAUGGGAAAUCUUUUCAAAACCUGCCGUGCUUGGGAUAGAUGUUUGCAAUUAUUCAUCUUCAACGAGGAUUGCCUUGUAAGCGCACGUCAUCAGCGUGCAUUGAAUACGACCCUGUAUUCUGUACACACCGCCCGUCGCUCCUACCGAUUGAAGUUUUCGGUGAGUUGACAGGAGGAUUUUUUUGAAACGGGUUCGCCAGUGGAUUUUAGAUCCAAAUGCCAACGAAUCGAUGGCUUUAGAGGAAGGAGAAGUCGUAACA
rnacentral:rRNA from 1 species